ACAAAUAUGAAUUGAGAAGCACCCUAUGAGGCUCAUCCGAGGCGCGAUCAUUGCUGGCUGAAAACUUUACCCAAUACCCCGCCAGGAUGACUUGAAAUAGAGUCAGCCUUGGCAAUUUUUGCCAGCUUCUUUUGAAG